AGAGUUUGAUCCUGGCUCAGGAUGAACGCUGGCGGCGUGCUUAACACAUGCAAGUCGAACGAUUAAACCGCCCUCGGGCGGACAUAGAGUGGCGAACGGGUGAGUAACACGUGACCAACCUGCCCCGCGCUCCGGGACAACCGCUGGAAACGGCGGCUAAUACCGGAUACUCCGGGAGGGCCCCAUGGCCCUGCCGGGAAAGCCGAGACGGCGCGGGAUGGGGUCGCGGCCCAUUAGGUAGACGGCGGGGUAACGGCCCACCGUGCCCGCGAUGGGUAGCCGGACUGAGAGGUCGACCGGCCACAUUGGGACUGAGAUACGGCCCAGACUCCUACGGGAGGCAGCAGUGGGGAACUUUGCGCAAUGGGGGAAACCCUGACGCAGCAACGCCGCGUGCGGGACGAAGGCCCUCGGGUUGUAAACUGCUUUCAGCAGGGAAGAUCCAAGACGGUACCUGCAGAAGGAGCUCCGGCUAACUACGUGCCAGCAGCCGCGGUAAUACGUAGGGGGCGAGCGUUAUCCGGAUUCAUUGGGCGUAAAGCGCGCGUAGGCGGCCGCCUAAGCGGGACCUCUAAACCCGGGGCUCAACCCCGGGCCGGGUCCCGGACUGGGCGGCUCGAGUGCGGUAGAGGAGAGCGGAAUUCCCGGUGUAGCGGUGGAAUGCGCAGAUAUCGGGAAGAACACCGAUGGCGAAGGCAGCUCUCUGGGCCGUCACUGACGCUGAGGCGCGAAAGCUGGGGGAGCGAACAGGAUUAGAUACCCUGGUAGUCCCAGCCGUAAACGAUGGGCGCUAGGUGUGGGGGGACGAUCCCUCCGUGCCGCAGCCAACGCAUUAAGCGCCCCGCCUGGGGAGUACGGCCGCAAGGCUAAAACUCAAAGGAAUUGACGGGGGCCCGCACAAGCAGCGGAGCAUGUGGCUUAAUUCGAAGCAACGCGAAGAGCCUUACCAGGGCUUGACAUGCCGAUGAAGCCGGGGAGACCCGGUGGCCGAGAGGAGUCGGCGCAGGUGGUGCAUGGCUGUCGUCAGCUCGUGUCGUGAGAUGUUGGGUUAAGUCCCGCAACGAGCGCAACCCCCGCCCCGUGUUGCCAGCAUUCAGUUGGGGACUCGCGGGGGACUGCCGGCGUCAAGCCGGAGGAAGGUGGGGACGACGUCAAGUCAUCAUGCCCCUUAUGCCCUGGGCUGCACACGUGCUACAAUGGCCGGUACAGAGGGUUGCCACCCCGCGAGGGGGAGCGGAUCCCGGAAAGCCGGUCCCAGUUCGGAUCGCAGGCUGCAACCCGCCUGCGUGAAGCCGGAGUUGCUAGUAAUCGCGGAUCAGCAUGCCGCGGUGAAUACGUUCCCGGGCCUUGCACUCACCGCCCGUCA
rnacentral:rRNA from 1 species